GCCCAGAUGGUGGAAUGGUAGACACGAGGGACUUAAAAUCCCUUGAGCAGUAAUGUUCGUGCGGGUUCGAGUCCCGCUCCGGGCA
rnacentral:tRNA from 1 species